UGAAGAAGAUCUCUACUCUUAGCUAGAGCUAGCUAGCUACCAGUCAAUAUUUGGAGAUGCAGCAUCAUCAAGAUUCACAAGCUCCAAACUGGGGCUUCCAUGGAAGUAUAGUUAGUUAAUUCAUUGCCAAUUCCAAGUCUUCUCCAGUGCAUAUGGGAAUCUUGAUGAUGCUGCAUCAGCAAAUAUAUGACUAAUCUUGCAGAGUUAUAUAUAAAGUAACAAGUUCAAGAGUCAUGUUUAUGCUUAAUAACAUUUAUUAUAUCACCACCCAGAAACCUCCAAGUGAUUGAUGCGUUCUUCUCUUUGGAAGAGUCUGCAUGUGCACAAGAAGGGCUUUCUUCAAUGAACACUCUUGAUUACCUUUCAGCCUAGAUUUCUGAUUUUGAUCGCAUUCUUGGUUUCCCAUUAUUCUUGCUUUCACGGUUGCAGCAGCCUCAUCUUUAACCAUGGAUCUGAUGAUAUCCAUAUUCAAUGUCACUUCUCCCACAUUUCCAUAUUUUUGCUUCAGUUGUUCUUCGCAGCAGGCAUCUGUUACUGUUCUUGUGCUAUAUAUAUGUAUUAAUGCAAGCUAGUAGCUACUACUUUUAAUUCAAAAUUAAUUAAACAGAUGAUACAGACCAAACUUCUUAUCCUUUAUUAGUAGAUGGAAAACUGUCAGUGACUUCGGAAUUUCUUGUUUAUAUAUUGUAAGUUUUAGAUAUGUUUUUAACUGUCUGUCUCGUUUGAUAUUUGAAUUAAGUUUGUGAUAUCAUAAAGUUAAUAAUUGGAUGACAUAAUAAUGAAAUUAAUUA